rnacentral:rRNA from 1 species
UACGGGGGGGGCAAGCGUUGUUCGGAAUUACUGGGCGUAAAGGGCUCGUAGGCGGCCAACUAAGUCAUACGUGAAAUCCCUCGGCUUAACCGGGGAACUGCGUCUGAUACUGGAUGGCUUGAGUUCGGGAGAGGGAUGCGGAAUUCCAGGUGUAGCGGCGAAAUGCGUAGAUAUCUGGAGGAACACCGGUGGCGAAGGCGGCAUCCUGGACCGAUACUGACGCUGAGGAGCGAAAGCCAGGGGAGCAAACGGG